rnacentral:rRNA from 1 species
GUGCCAGCAGCCGCGGUAAUACGUAGGGUGCGAGCGUUGUCCGGAAUUAUUGGGCGUAAAGAGCUCGUAGGCGGCCUGUCGCGUCGGAUGUGAAAGCCCGGGGCUUAACCCCGGGUCUGCAUUCGAUACGGGCAGGCUAGAGUUCGGUAGGGGAGAUCGGAAUUCCUGGUGUAGCGGUGAAAUGCGCAGAUAUCAGGAGGAACACCGGUGGCGAAGGCGGAUCUCUGGGCCGAUACUGACGCUGAGGAGCGAAAGCGUGGGGAGCGAACAGGAUUAGAUACCCUGGUAGUCC